rnacentral:lncRNA from 1 species
UUUUACUAUGUGCAUCAGUUCAGGUGGCUAAUCCUCAUUUUCAGAGAGAAAAAGUAGCAAGUACUUUAUUUAGCGGAAACCCUUUAUUUUUUGUUGAGAUUAAUUAAUCAUUUCCUGCAGAAAAGACAAACACAAAUGGCAUCCAAUGGUGUUUUGUAACACCAGGCGUCUUUGACAUGGCCGCCCUCGAUGAGAGCCGCCUUCGUCCAGCAAAGCCCCUUGCACCAAGCGUCGAAACAAAAUGGCUGCCUAUAAGCUCCUUUCAUGCAAUUCUCUGCACGAAAAUAAACAAUCACAGACAUCCACGCGUUAUUAUUCAGUCUACACGAGCAUAUCCAUGAAGCUAACAAAAACAUAAAAACAACCUUUUCUGCAUCAAGUUAGAGGGUGGGAGAGAGAGGGGGGACGGACCGGCCAUGGCAACAGGAUUUGGAUGUAGCACAAGUACUAGGAGGAGGAAGCGGAGAACAACAAGUCGGGCAUCCAUGGAUGGAGUGAUAAGUUUCUUUAUUGCCGAACCUCAAGGGAAUAUAAACACCGAUAGCACGGUGUGAUGUUGUGUCCAUAUGUGUAUAUAUAGGAUCGUCUUUGCAUGCUCUUGAUAAAUACUCAUUUGUUCAUAUUCAAUAGCCAUAUCUAUGUAUCUUUGAGAUACUACUACACUAACGGAGGUAGUCAGAAUGGAUGCAUGGGUGGCCACACUACCAUUUAUCCCCGGACGACCACGUUGUCACGUUAGAGGAUUCGGUGGCCGCCUCACGAAGAAAUCUUUCAUACGUUGCUGACUGCUGCCGUUCGCAUUGGCGCCCGGCUACCGGCUAGAGAAAAUAAAUGACCUAGGCUUUCUUGGAUUGCAGAGGCUAGGUUUUUCGAUGAGCGGUACAUACUAGUAAAAACAACACAUGUGUUGACGCCGGUCUAAUAGGCCACAAUAACUAAGAGCAUUUUCAAUAGAAAUGGUCUAAUUCUUGCAGCACUGAAGCAAAGCCGUCUCCCUUCCCCAAAACAUAUGGAUAUGCGAAUUUACUCGUGUGUCUUUUAAAAAUAAAUGUGAGCAUGUAAAAAUAAAGACUAAAUGAUCUUUAUUUAUAGUUUAAGAAAUUCAGCAUAUGCACUCCGGGGUGGUGAAAAGUGUUGAUAGAUAGAGAGGGAGAGAGGGAGGGAGAGAGAGAGAGAUAGAGAGAAAGAGAUUGGAUGCCCUUUUUCUUCUUAAGAAACAUGAAAUACAAACUUGGGGUUUUUAGAAAGAAACUGAACUUUGUUUGGACAACUAUAUUUUUAAUACACUAUGCUCCCUAAUUUUUAAGGGCUCACAACCAAUUGCGGUCUCUAAUUUAGAAUUGGGUCGUCUUUUUUUAUGGUCAAAACAGUAGGAGCUCCUACUGCAUAUAUAUUUAAAAAAUGGGGGUUAAAAGGAAGAUAUGGUGGGUUUUAUAUUCUUUGGCACUCUCUUAUUCAAUUCUUUUAAUUCACUAUGCUUCCUAAUUUUAGAGCUCUUCCAUUCGAAUGAGGUAUUCAAUAUUAGAUUUAGUUUACGAUUUUGACCGGGCCAACGAUUUUUCAAAUCAAUUAGCAACAAUCGGCCUAUAAAAACAUAUCAAUCCCACUCACCCUCUCACCAAUUAGAAAAAUGAAGGGUCAUCAUGUGACACUAUAGCACCAAUAUAGUACAUGCAGCAACCGACUCAGAAAUUUCCUGUCAUAUAUAUGGGUUGAUUAGCAGAUAACAUAGAAUCACAUUGUGAAAAGCCGACCAAAACACCGCAUUAUAUGAAUAAAAAUAAAAUACACGCCAUCAUCUCCUCCGCUCGCUAAACAUUCCCUCAGUUCUAAAAUAGAAGGUGCAUUUAGUUUUUUGAAAACUCAAAUUUCUUUAACUUUGACCAAGUUCAGAGCCAAAAUAUCGACAUCCACAAUACUAAAUAAAUAAAAUAUAAAAAUCCGUUUCAUGAUGAAUGUAAUGAUACCAAUUUGAUAUUAUUGAUUUUGAUAUACUUCUAAUUUGAUCAAACUUAAAGAGGUUUGGCUUUUCAGAAAAGAAUACGCCUUCUAUUUUGAAACAGAGAGUAAUUUUUUUAUGAAAACCCAACAAUACCAAUGGCGCAGCAAAGUGCGCCUAGCCCUUCUAGUAUAGACGAUAGCUGCUCUAAUUCUAAUAAUGGAUAAAACUACAGGAUUUAUUAGAAAAGCUUUGAAGGAUUGUGAAAAGCAUGUCACAAAUGCACUAUGGCGCUUUAUUCAGCAGAAAGCUAGAAACCUUUAUUUUUCUUGCUUUAUUAAGGUUAUUUUCUGCAGAAGAGACAGACACAACUGGUGUUGUCCUCCAAUCUCCAGCAUGUUUGUUGUUUGACACGGGCGCCAAUGAAUUGCGCUUGCGUCCAGCACAACGCCUUGCACAAGGUGUCAAAACAGAAUGGCGUCGUCGAAGCCCGAUAUCUGCAAUCCUCUGCACGGAAAAAACACAAUAUUACAUUAAAAGGAAAAGGAAAUAACAUAACUAUAAAUAUCCACGCAUCAGUUAAUUAUUAGUUUGGUCUCUCGUAGCCUCACACCGCGAGCAAAGAAGACAAAAACAAGCUAGAUCCUAGAUGAGAGGGGGGAAGAAACAUAAGCCGCGUGUUUGGUUCUGUGCAUGAAUUUUGGGCCUCCUGCAUCUGUAGUUCGGUUGAGUCCAGAUGAGCAAAUAGAGACAAUAAACCAUGUUUUAUAGUGCAUUUGGUUGCCCACAAAGCUCCAGGCUGCAUGAGAACAGAAAUAGAAGUACUACCUUUGGUUGCAAAUAUUUGUUGGUCAGAUGCAACGUGUUGUUGUUGUUCGGUUACGUGCAAGACAUAGAGUGUGGUAAUCUCUUUUUUUAGUGGUGAAUUUAGGAGCACACACAGUCAUAUGCACACCACUUUCAACAAGCAUACAAAUGACUACAUUAACAAGCAUACACACAACGACACAACCAUAGGUAUAAUAGUGAUAUAGUAAAAUACACUAGAGGCCCUACAAGUAUUCCAAGUGUGUAAGGUAGGUCCUAAAAGUUUGAAAUCGUCCACCGCCGGUCCUAUACGUCUAUUUUACCCGCAACUUUUAGGAACUACUUGACAUAGUUGGAAUACUUUUAGGACCCAUGGCGAACGACGUACACACAUUUAGGUCCCGCGGUGAACGAUUUCAAACUUUUAGGACCUACUUGACACACUUGGAAUACGUUUAGGACCUCCGGUGUAUUUUACUCAUAGUGAUACACAGACGUGGCAAGGGUUGGGUCAUGAUGGGUGCACCUGACCACCACGUCUACGUCGGAAAGGUCAAACACAAUGACCUUGAAACUAUCCUACUCAGGAGCUAUGACAAAGCCAACCCACCCUUGAUCCAUGGCACACCCCCGUUGACAUCUCGACGUUUGACCCUUUAGUUGCAGCCAAUGUUCGUCCCCAGAACGAUUUCCUGUGGGAUGGUGCCCAUGUGCUCACAAAAGACAUCAUGUAUUAUAUAGAAGUAAAUAUAACCCAGGUGCUAAAAGCAUCUUGCAGAAGUGGGUUGGACCUACGUCCUCAUGGAAGCAACUGAUAUUCGUCGACCUCCCCUGCCUCGUCUUUGAACUAUUGCCUUCUACUAUAGCCUUGCCCUUGAAACAACUGCCUGAAGCAUCAUUGUCGAUGACCAACUUGUCGGAAGGGCAAUGCAAUGAAGAACAUUAGGCUCACCACACCACUGAAGUACAAUGUGUAGGAUCAUAACAAUGUGCAUGUAAAGGGUGAUGAUCUUCACUGCUUCCUGUCAUAUAGAAGGAGAGAGAUGGUACAAGGAUCAGAGCUACAAUGGGAAGAACCAACCCUCAUACCAACGAUCACCCUAAUACAUGGACUGCACAUAAGUGAAGAUCAUUGCUCUACGCAGUCCAAGUUAAACUAUUCUUCCCCCAAUCAGACUGAUGUACCCCCUAAUCUAACUUAGCUUCCCCAAAAUUUAACCCUAAAUCGACACCCAAAUUAAGCCAUAUCAAACCCUGUAAAACCCUAAAUCUGGCAGGGAAAGGGCUUACCGUCAAGCGGAAGGUCGUCGCUGGUGGUCACUAUGCAGAUCUUCCUGCCGCCGAUGAUCACAAUGUUGCAUGUGAGGGAGUGGCGGUGUAGAUCGGGGAGAGUGAGUGGUGAGAGAGGGUGAGGGUUUUAUGGCAUGGCUUCGUCAAACUAUGCGCCGUCUCCCUCUCGUCCCCGCGUGUGCAAGCGCGUGCCGUCCUUGCACUCGGUCAUGCCUGACUCGCUGGAAACAAUCGAUUUGGCCAUUACUCCAGUUCCAGGAUCUGGGCUGCUUUAGUAGUCUGCCACACAGGUAACCAAACAAACCAUGAUUGCUUUCCCAAGAUCUGGCUGGAGAGGAUGCGAGCAAUCAAACACACCCAAGGUAGCAUGCCUAGCGUCCAUGUAGUAGUAUGUGAUGUGAUGGUUUCCUCAGAAACCUCACGGAUGGAAUGGAUAGAUAGUGUGUUAGGUACACUGCCUGGAUGGUAGUAAUAAUUAUGAGGAUCCAGUAUAAAUUUCCUAAAUCUUAGCGAGUUUGUGUUUUUUUUGUAAUUUGUACUUACUGAGCCAGGGUUUUCUUUCUAAAAAAUACAGCUAAAGAGCACCUUAGAUUCGCUAAUACAAUGGAAAGACAACAUGACACAAAAUGAUUAAAAAAUAAUAUAAUUGCAUCAAAAACCAUACUAUAACAACACAUGCAUUAGUUUUUUCGCGGGGUGCACAUGUUAAUUGCUUCAGUCUCAUGCGUAUAACGCCGUGCAAAGAAGUGAAAAACAAGAUAGAGAGAGAGGGAGACGAACCGGCGACAUCAGUAGGACUUACGUGUAACACAAGUACUAGGAGGAGGAAAUAGAGAACCAAAUGCUGGGCACCCAUGGUGAUGAAGUGAUAGUUUAUUUCUUAUCAAACCUAAGGGAGAUGCCGCCGAUAGUAUCUCCAAGAAAAUGAUAUGCAUCUAUCUGUCACCGGUUAUAAACAAGUCGACGUCAUCCUAUAAAAUCUGCCGAGCAAUUAAUAUUUUAUCAAAUAGCGUCUUGCAAUUAAUUUCUAUCAAAUAUCAACGUCAAGUUAUAUUUCACCAUAUAUCUACAUGCAAUUAACAUCCUACCUUUUUUAUAGUGAAUUAAUAUAUCCUACCUAUAUAGAGAGUCUUUGCAUGCUCUUGAUAAACAUUUUAAUUCGGACAGAUUGUAUCUAUCUUUAAGAUACGUUGAACAAGCCAGGAUCUAGGUUGGCUUCAAUGACAAAUAUGUGCAUACUUUGGGUAAAAAUCCAUGUUGUCGCCUCGUUAGCUUGAUCCGGUAACGUCAUGUGGGUGGGUUGUGCCUUUGUUGAAGGUGUUAGGUCGAAGAUUGGGUUCGAGGAUGAAAAUUGUAAGUGUAAUAUUUGGUUGGACCUGUCAACGCCAACACGGUGUGGUGAUCCUUUCCUGAAGGCUUUGUUUAGGAGUAGCGUUUUUGUUGGUUGCUUUGUCAAACAUCAUCAUAGGGUUCGUGCUAAGUUUGUGGAUACAUUGUUGUGAGGAAGAUCCUUUUGUGGAUGGCCUUGGUUUUUUUAACCCCAUUUAUUCGUCAUUGAUAUUGAGUUGUACUUGGGCAUUGAUUGAGAUUAUAGAAGAAUCAAUGAUAUAUGACUAUGUGCAUCAGUUUGGGUGGCUGGUCCUCAUUUUCGAAGAGAAAAAAUAGCAAAUACUUUAUUUAGCGAAAACCCUUUAUUUUCUUGUUGAGAUUAUUUAAUCAUUUCUUGCAGAAAGUACAAACACAAAUGGCAUCCCAUGGUGUUUUGUAACACCGGGAGUCUUUGACACGGCCGCCCUUGAUGAGAGCCCCCUUCAUCCAGCAGAGUGCCUUGCACCAAGCGUCGAAACAGAAUGGCUGGCUAUAAGCUCCUUUCCCGCAAUUCUCUGCAUGAAAAUAAACAAUCACGGAUAUCGGCGUGUUAGUAGUCAAGUCUGUCACGGUGUCACUACACAGAGCAUAUCCACGAAGCUAACAAGAACAUAAAAACAUUUUUUCUGUAUCAAGUUAACAAACCUGAAAAUGAGAGAGAGAGAGAGAGAGAGAGAGAGAGAGAGAGAGACCGGCCAUGGCAGCAGGAUUUGGAUAUAGCACAAGUACUAGGAGGAGGAAACGGAGAACGGCAAGCCGGGCAUCCAUGGAUGGAGUGAUGACACCAGUACUAUCUCCGAGAACUAAAGUGAUGGUGUGUCCAUAUGUGUAUAUAUAGG